UGGUUCUGGCAUNGAUGAAGAACGCAGCGAAAUGCGAUACGUAAUGUGAAUUGCAGAAUUUAGUGAAUCAUCGAAUCUUUGAACGCACAUUGCGCUCCCCAGCAUUCUGGGGAGCAUGCCUGUUCGAGCGUCAUUUCAACCCCCAAGCACCAGCUGCUUGCUGAUGGGGCCCGUCACCGCGGGCCCCCAAAUGCUUUGGCAGAGCCGGUUGGCACUCUGAGCGUAGUAACUAACCUCGCUUUUGAAGGUCCCCGGCCCCUAGCCGUUAAACACCAACUUACAAAGUUUGACCUCGGAUCAGGUAGGAAUACCCGCUGA
rnacentral:misc_RNA from 1 species